ACCUUUGGCUGCUGUUCAAGGUCAUUAAGUUGGACCGACUUCACAUCAUUGCAAUGCUUUAACUUCUUUGGACGCUUCCCAUGGUCUUUCAUUUGUAGCUCAUCCAUAUUUAUCUUUCUUUCUUCCACUGUAAUGGUGUCUCUUGAAAGUUGGACCGACUUGACAUUGUCAUGCUCAGCCACCUUUGGCUGCUGUUCAAGGUCAUUAACUCGGGCCGACUUGACAUCAUUGCAAUGCUUUGACUUCCUUAGACCCUUCCAAAAGUUUUUCAUGUUUAGGUUAUACAUAUUUAUCUUUCUUCCUUCCACUGGUGUCUCUUGAAAGUCCUCAAUAACUAGUUUGGAGAAUUAAAGUCUGGGGUAUAGAGUUUUUUUGCCUCUGAUUUAUCUUUCUUCGUCCCACUGUAGGCUAGUACUGGUGUCUCUUGAACGUCCUCAAUAACUAGAUUGGAGAAGUAGUCUGGGGUCGGUAGGCUAUAUAGUUUAUUUUCCUUUGAUCUGGACAAAUUGUUGUCUUUCAUCUCUUUAUGACGUCAUGCCGUUCUAUAGUCUGUUUCUGAACUGACGUUUUGCCUUUGAUCUUGACGAAUCACGUGUGACGUCAUUCUAUGCGCAAGCUGUGGCCGUUUGGAGACCGAAUGCGUCACCGCGACUGCGACGAGGCUGUCCCAUGAAUACAGACAUAUUUAAAUGCUGAAAUAAAUAAAUAUAAUAGUAAAUAAAUGCUGAGAUGAAUAAAUGAAAGUUGAUACUGUAACAGACUGUCUCAUGUUUGUCGUUCUGGUGUUGACGAUGUUAUGUCCCUUGAGGGUUACCGUAGCGAAGGCGCAACUCCCGCCUCUGGCCAAAGGAGAAAACAAUAAUAAAGAGAGUAGCCGUGGGCUGACACAAGAUAUCUGGUCUCCCGACUCCAGUUAUUACUGUAUGAUAAGUGCCCUUAUACACGAACCCAAGACGCUCGGUUACAAUACCUAAACGGGACGUAAGUAAAUAAAUACAUUUCUGUAUUCCUUCAUUUAUUUAUUUCUGUGUCCGUAUGUUAGUGAGGUAGGCGGUCCGAACCUCAUUCUUAAGCAGGAUUGAUCGAGUAGGGGAGCAAGACAGAAGCAACCGAUUCCUAGCAAAUCAUCCCUGUGGACGACGUCAAAAACUAGCUAGCAGCACUCAUGGCUUCGACCGGGCGGCCGCUGGCAGACCUGCGGGUUGUGGCUGACCAGCUUGAGAACUGUGAGUUUCUUCUGUUUAAACGUAUAAGCAGCAUAACAACAGCAGUUGUUUAGCUAAAUACUGUUGGUCAAAGUGCCAAUAUACUCUAUUAAACUGAACUAGGCAGCCAUGUGGCGUUCACUGCUUUGUUAUUUUUUUGUGCAGCACCGAGGACCGCAAACGAGCUAAGUUCACCUCCGCGGCCGCAACAUAACGUAACACCCAGGCACCCAGUGGACGGUUGGUUUCUGCGGCCGCAACAUAACGUAGCACCCAGUGGACGGUUGGUUUCUGCAGGGAACACUUUUCCAUGCUAAAUCCCUUGUGUAAACUAAAUCACUAUCGCGGUGAUGAGUGAUUCAUUUAUUCAUGCUGUGCGUCUGAUCACAUUCCUGUAAAGUGUGCGAUGAUAUCGUUAGCCAACAUGUUUCGUCUGCAACGUUCUUAUGUUCUUGUACUGAUUAUAGCUUAUCCUCUUCACUUGAUUCUAGCCGAGGUUUCAAGACUGUUUGUUUGGUCCAUACUUUGGAGGGAGAAUGACGACAAGGAGGCGAACUGUUGCUGCGCCCGCACAACUUCAUUCGUACACUCACUCUUUCUGUUGUAUUGAGGAUAAAAAUGCGGCCUUAGUCCCCAACCGACACGCCAGAGGUAGACUUGCUGCUGCAGGACUAGGGGAAAACGUCUUACAUUCCAAGGUAAGUCAGGCAUCAUGAUGGACAGACGCAUCUUUCUUGAAUUUUAGUUACCUUUCAAAAACAUCAAACGUUAUUAUAUUUCAAGUUAGAUCGGUUGUUUGGAUUAUUAUCUUCUAUUUUCAGGUAGUCAUACAGAUCCAGAUGACUUUAGAGAAUUUAUUUUAGAGGCAUAUCCAAAACUCAGACAAGGGGGAGGAUUUGAGUUGCUCAAAAUCUCUGGAACAACAUGGUCGCCAACUGAUCAUCAUACCAUGUCCCAAUGAGGGUUACCAUGUGAGACAUUUAAAAGAUCCACAAACACAGAUUGGUCAUGCUACAAUUUUCAUCCGACCACUCCAAAGAAAGCUGAAUCUGGAACGCUGUAAGAUCCUCACUUUUAAAUUGGUGUUCCCAUAUGAAAAUGGCAAGAGUAUGAACAUUUACACAAGUAUAGCUUGUGUUACAUUUUAAAAUGAUCUUGUUUACAGGCAUGUCAACCAGAAUGCAGUAAUGAGCUAGUUGGACCACCUCAGAAAUGUGACGUGUGGAGAGGAGUUCCCUUUUACAAGAAUCAAGGCUCCCAGUGAUGAAUGCGUGAGACCAUCACAGAACAGUGGUGAGGUAGAAACUGUGGUGACAACAGACAAGUGCCUCCCGAAGUGAAGGUAGAUUUGUGAGCAUGUUGACAAGGCUACAAGUGAGACAACAAGGGCCAGCAACACAAACUACUGCGUGCCACCUCUCAGGGACAUGUGGCUGCUCCUGAGAUAGUUGACCUAGAUCCCACUGAGGAGAGAGGCUUCCCAGAUUGGAAAAUUCUUUCAAAUCCCAGUGAGGCAGCAAAGGGAUUUAAAGAAGACAUUUUAAGCCGGCAUGCAACUGGAAAAUCAUUCUAUCUUACCAUGGAUCUUGGAGACAGUGCAGAGGACAGUCCUUUCUUUUUAUAAGAGGGCUAAUGUUGAGUAGGCUUGCCCCUUGACAUGCACACUCGAGGGAGAUCCAGCAAUUGGUGAUGGCGUGACUCGCUGUUUCUUUGCAAGCAUCAUGUCCAAACUUCAGUAUGGUUUCGAGAUGAAUUUUGGUAAACUUCAGGGGACGUUUUGGGAGGAAUUUCGUCAUCCAGCGCAGCUGUGUGCCUCGCUCCCUGGUGUACCGAGCCGCAUAUGUGCCGGGCUGCCCCCAGGACGUCAACCCAUACCUGUAUUAUCCUGCUGCCCAACG